AACCAACGCUGGCGGCGUGCCUCAGACAUGCAAGUCGAACGCGAAAGUCCCCUUCGGGGGAUAAGUAGAGUGGCGUCCGGGUGAGUAACACGUAGGUAAUCUACCUUCGGGUGGGGAAUAACCCAGGGAAACUUGGGCUAAUACCGCAUAAUGCAGCGGCACCACAUGGUGACAGUUGUUAAAGCGGGGGAUCUUCGGAUCUCGCGCCUGGAGAGGAGCCUGCGGCAGAUUAGCUAGNGGUAAGGUAACGGCUUACCAAGGCGACGAUCUGUAGCCGGCCUGAGAGGACGAUCAGCCACACUGGGACUGAGACACGGCCCAGACUCCUACGGGAGGCAGCAGUGGGGAAUCUUGCGCAAUGGGCGAAAGCCUGACGCAGCAACGCCGCGUGAGGGACGACGGCCCUCGGGUUGUAAACCUCUUUCAGCGGGGACGAGGCCGACGGGGCGAAUACCCCCGAGCGGUGACGCUACCCGCAGAAGAAGCCCCGGCUAACUACGUGCCAGCCGCCGCGGUAAG
rnacentral:rRNA from 1 species